rnacentral:ncRNA from 1 species
GUCGUGAGACAGGUUAGUUUUACCCUACUGAUGGCCGCGUCGCAAUAGUAAUUCAACCUAGUACGAGAGGAACCAUUGAUUCGCACAAUUGGUCAUCGCGCUUCGUUGAAAAGCCAGUGGCGCGAAGCUACUGUGCGCUGGAUUAUGACUGAAAGCCUCUAAGUCAGAAUCCGAGCUAGAAGCGACGUACACGCCCAUCGCCCGAUUGCCGACCCGCAGUAGGGGCCUUUGGCCCCCAAGGGCACGUGUCGUAGGUGCAGCGACCACGGCGGACAAGUCGCGGGUGCUUCCUUGGAGCGUAGUUCCCACCAAGCAGCGCGUAGAAUCCUUUGCAGACGACUUAAAUAGGCGACGGGGUAUUGUAAGUGGCAGAGUGGCCUUGCUGCCACGAUCCACUGAGAUUCAGCCCUUUGUCGCUU